rnacentral:rRNA from 1 species
CAGUUUUUUCCCACCUGACGUCGCCAGCAUGCCACUUUUUGGAUCGGGCGUGUGCUGGGAGCGAGGAAGAGGAGCUGGAGGGAGGAGAAGGAGGAGAAGACGGCGGCGGCGGAGAGGAGAAGAAGAGAGAGGACACAACAGCGGCGAAGAGUAGGGGGAGAGGUGCGAUCGUGCCAUCCCAGUAGCCCUACUCGUCGCCGCCCGUAGACAGCCACACGACCUCAUGUCACCGCCCGAAGACACCACACGACCUCACGCGCCUACUACUUUCGUCGCCCUCCUCGUGCGUCACGUCCCACUCCGUCGCCGGUGCUGGCGCGGGAGGAGACGCGAAGGAGAGGUUUAUGGGAGCCGAAGGCCACUCAAGAGGAAGAGAGAAAAGGAGAGAAGGAGUGACGAGGAGAAGAAGGAAGUUAGAGAGGACAAGUCGUGCCACCUCUGCCCAUGUGCCCGAUCCGUCUGGUGCCCUGCUGCCCACCAGCUCGUGGGUGGUGUCGCUCCUCUCUAGCUCAGGCGUGCCACCUCUGCCCCAUGUGCCCGAUCCGUCCGGUGCCCUGCUACCCACCAGCUCGUGGGUGGUGCCGCUCCUCUCUAGCUCAUGUUGAGGGUCAAGUACCUCCCCUACGACUUAACGACUAUGUACGGGUCGUCCGUGGCCGCUGUGUACUCGUCCUCCUCCUCGGGAAGGGUCCGAGCGCCCGACCGACGCUACUUCGGCGGUCUCCUCCUGGACCUGCUGCUGACACGAUCGGCUCCUCGGGGUUUCUUAAAGGGGUUUGAAAGGAGAACUAAGUAAAUUCAAAACUAGUAAAGAGACAUCAUCAACUUCAAAGACGGCAUGUAACUAGGACAACCUUAACUUAUUUUC